GUGGGAUCCGAAGCACCGAAGCCAGAUAUUGCCCAAGGUCACACACAUGGUGGGUAGAGGGCCCGGCAGAGCCUCUCUAUUCCACUCAUACAGAAGAUGCACAAUACCCAGUUGCUGGGGAAGGAAGGACCCUGGGUUAACGGAUGUGGAAUAAUUGGAGUAGAAGUGUCCAGAGGGUACCAGGCAUGGCUCUCCAGGCCGGUCUUUUGAAGGUGUUUUCUAUGGUUGAUAUGAUAAGAAGCAAGUACCAUCCCAAAGUCAAUGUGAAAUAGAAGACAAAGAGACAGUGUCCAACAUUUGAGAAGUUAUAUAGUGCCCAACAAGUACACAUAGCCCAUUGGAGAUGGAUUUACAAAUGAGCUGAAGAGGUUUCAGCCAUACUACCUGUGAUGUACUGUUUCUCCAUCUUUGGAUGCAGAAUAGCCGUUCAGGCCAUUAAGAAAGUAACAUGCAUGCAUGCACACACAUGAACUUCAACUGACAGCACAAUACAGCAGGAGGGAAGCAGGGACCCAUGAAGGACCUAUUUCAUGAACAUAAAUGGUCACCUACCAUUUGUCCCAACUUUAUGAAGUUGUCACAAGCCCCUCUCUUCCCCACUUUACUCAAGUUUACAUGAGAGGAGUCACGGCACAGACGAUCUGAAAUGCUACCUGCCUCCUCUGCUUCAGUUUACCAAAGAAAGACCUUGGACAGGCUUGAACCAGACACCUCGCUAGUCUGUGAGCCCCACUGUGACAGCCACGUGAUUCCUAAGCACAUCACCACUCCUCCUUAGGACAACAAUGAUUACUUUCCAUAAAUAAAUUAUUAUGUUUCGGCAUUAAGAUGGAAGGCUUCCAAUAAGUAACUCUACUGGGUUCCCAAAACUCUGAGCUUUUACUGUGGUUAUACUCAUUUCACAGAGAUAACAUUGAAGCUUACGACUUUAAUAACCUAUUCAGAUCUACCGAGGCAGUUGAUAAUUAGCAGAAGGGAGAUGCAAACCUAAGCCUUCCUGAACUGUGACCCCUUGUCUGGACCAAGGAUGUCAAUGACAUGUGUGUUUCUGAGGAUACUAGGCUGUUAAGAAAGAAGGAGAUGGAUAAAAGAUGUUUAAGAGAAAGGGGCUUGGCCAGUUUUCUUACACUUCAUACAAUGAACCAUGCUGAGUUCACAGUCUGCUUCAAGUCUCUUUUCCCUGAGAUGAGGGCAGAUCAAACCACAAUAUCCCCCAUUCAUUCAUUCAUGACUUGAGUUAGACAAAUCUGGGUCUGUUCAAUGAAAAUACAAGAUUAAAUAAGACCUGGUUUCUACUCUGAGUAAGCUCACCAUCUGAUGAGGGGGAAAAGACUUAUAAAUUAAUUAUUAGACUCCAUAUAAUAAAUGCUCCCUGGUGGAUGGAAAUACUGUGGAGUCAAGGGGAAGAACAACUGGGGGGGAAAAAAGAGCCUGAAGCAACAGAAAGAGCUUGGAACCAACUUUGAAAGACAGCAAAACAACUGGAUGUGAUUCUUAUCUCUGUGACCUUGAACCAGUUGAAAUGCUUUGAGCUGUACCGUUUUUUUUGUGCAGGAAAACAGCGUCAAUUGAACAGCGUGACCAACCCUGAAAGAACUGCACAGGGGAUUAAAUGGGUUAACAUAAGCGAAAACAUUGCCAUUCAUCAGCAAAAUGGCCAAGCUGGAAAAUACAGAUGAACCGAGUGUGUAGAGGCAGAAAGGCAAUGCAAAGAGUUCUGUGAUAUGGGAUUAUGUAGCAGUGUAAUAAUAUAGAUGUGGCUGCUACAGAAAAUGCGCUGUCUUGGGACUUUGAAAUCACCAGCCAUGCUUCAAGGGAACAAAUCUCUCCAUAUGGUUUUGAGGAGAACACACAAAAAAAAUAUUUUCCAGCCACUUUCAGAUAUAAUUCCUCCUUAGGUAGGAGGGAAAAGAGGAUAACUAUCCAUCAGAUCUCAGAGAAAUCGAUCAACUCGCACGUGUCUGCCGAUCCGGCCAUGUGCCCAUCACUAUGUUUGUUUCUGUGCAGAACGUCACACGAGGUAGCUGGGGAAGAAAGAACCAUGCACACUGAAUAAUUAACAGCCUUCGUGGAGGAGGUGGCAAGACCUUAAAGGAAGGCUAAGAUUCAAAGGAGAGGGUGAGGAAGAUGAAUGAAGGGGAAGGGAGGAGCAGGUGAAAGGCGUGAUAAAGACAAUGAAGGAAAGGUGAAGAGUGAGAAGAGAGAACAGGAACCGCACAUAGAAACAGUAUUAGAGAGAGAAGGACCCAAGUGGGCCUGAGCCUGAAAGGCUACAUGGAGGCUAAACAUCUGGAUGAAGCCAAAUUAUGAUCUAGAUUGAGGAAUCUGGGUCUGACGCUUGUGUGACUUGGUCAGUGACAGGGCAUUGCCACAGAAGAAGGAAUGCAAUCUGACUGACAAUUGGGGGAAACAACAAACAGGAAAUAGUUCUGAUCAGACCGUGGCAUCUAAAAAAGCUAAAGAAGGUGUGUAUGACAAGAACAAUGGGCUUACCAUUGGGAAAACACUAAGUCUUGGAUAUCCAAAGUGAAGAUGGAGAGCAAAAAGGGAGAAGUCAAAGACUCCCAAGAUACUGGACCAGGAACCUAGACAUAAAAGGAGGCCUUUAAGGAGGAAAAAUUAAAUAUCAGAGGCGAGGAAGUUAGAACGUGUGUUCCUUGGAGGCAAUGGCAGUCCCCACAAAUGGGGAAGUCGUAGAAACAGUUGGGAUGAUGAAGCUGAAUAGCAGAGGCAGGAUCAAGGCUGGAGAAGUUUAUGUGAGAGCUGUAAUAGAAAUCUCGGGGAAAGUGGUUAGAGGGAAGGAGGGAGGCCGAUGCAGAAAGGUCCCUUGAGGGUUCUCAUAAGUGGGAUAACAGGAGAGAAAUGAUACAUUGAAGGAGAACCAGCAGUCUCAGAGAAUAGGAAGAGAACCCCAACAGUUGGCCACAGAAGAUCAGAGUUAGAGAGGAUGUGAUGGAUGGGGGCACAGUCCUCAGCAUCUCACUGGAUAGAUCAGGACCAACAGAAUGGGGAACUAAAAUGGCUACUCGUUUUUCAAGAAAACGAGUCAGUGUAAUUGGGGAGCAAAUGUCAGCUUGUGUGAAAACUGAGAUUGGCAUGUCAGGAAAUGUAGAGAGACAUCAGCAAAAGGAAAGAUGAGGAGCAGGAACUUAGCAGGUUUAACAGAAUCAAACAGAGGAUCUUUCUGAGACAGAGAAACUAAAAUACAUGGAGAGAAGAGGGCUAGAAACAUAGAGAAGGGGGAACUAGACACACAUUGUGGGAACAAAAUCCCAGAAGAGAUAGGGGUCCAGAGUUCAUGCGAAGCAGUUAUCUUUAAAUAAGAGGAAAGAAACCUCUUCCUUUGAAAAUAAAGGGGGGAAUCCACUUCAUAGACAUGGCACCUUAAGAGGUGAGAAUGAGGGUACUUGAGAUGCUCACAAAGAUGGCUUUUAUCUCCUACUGAUCUGAAAUGGACACAUAGCAUGAGUGGAGAGAAGCCUUUGAUGGUUUAAGUUCCUGGGAUUUUCAGAUUGUCACUGCAGCAUAACCUGGCCCAUCCUGAUUGAAUACAAGGAGAAAGCCACCUCCUGGUAUUUGGGCAGCAAGGAUGAAUCAAGGUUUAAGGAAAGAAAAGGAAUGAAAUAAUAACACGAUAGCAUCCAAGUGAUUCCAAAAGAGGCUUUUUCUCAAGGCAUGUUUUGAAAAGUUUGAAAGCUGCAGAAAUGUUGGAAACCAGAAUAAUGACCACCCAGAGAUCCUUCACCCAGAUUCAUUAAUUGCUGGCAUCUUACCACAUUAUCUCUCUGUGUUAUAUUGGAGGGACAUAUAUACACACGCUCACACACACACACACACACACACACACACACACACACACACACACACGCACACAUACAUAUCUGCAAGCUGCAGAAAGCAUUCACUUCAUAAACGCGAAGAGUUUCCCUUAUGAAUUAUAACCUUGCUAUUUUAGACAGACAAAUUAAUAGUUUGGGUUGUUUAAGAUUGUGCAGCUCUAAGGUAUAUGGCACUGAUAUCCCUAUACAUAGUGAGGUAACUACUACAACCAAGCAAAUUAGCAUAGCUAUCAUCUCACGUAUCUUUUUUUUUGUGGUUAAAAAAAUACUGAAAAUUUACUCAGUAAAUUCCCAGUAUGCAAUGAGAUAUUCUUGACUAUAGUUCUCCUGCUGCACAUUAGAUCUCUAGGCAUAUUCAUCCUACAUAAGUGUAAACUUCAUACCCAAACUUAAUAUUAAUCUAAUGCUCUUAUGUAGCAUAGAGUCAACAUGAUUCAAUUGACCUCAUCAUUCUUAAUACUGAAGUGAACAGUCAUUUACUUCAUACUGUUCUCCCAUCUCUGCUUGUGAGACCAUAAAAAACUCUAUACUGAGUUUUGGAGAGAGGGGAGAAAAAAAGGAGAGGUGAGGAAGAAAGGGGAAAAGACAGAGUAAAGAGAGAAGUUGAUAUUAAUUGAUUAACUGGGAAGAAUUUGGUUCCCUUAUUCUUUAACAAGCCAGAUUUGCAUAGUGGAGAAAAAGGAUUAUCAAAUGUAUGGGACAACUUGGCUGGAGAACAUAGUCUUUUACCUGAGAUGAAUGACUAGCAUAGUCAGAAGAGGGGGAAGAGGGAAGAGGACGAAUGGUAUAUAACAUCAAAGGAAAAUGGCAAUGUUCAGAUAACUAAUGGGCCAAAAAGAAAAAGAGAAAUUGAAAAUACAAUUUGGCAAUGUAAAAAUUAAUACUAAUUAGACUCUUUAUACCCUCCCCCAAAUGUUUAAUUACCAUGCAUUAAAUAAUCAAUCAUUAAAUCUAUGUGAAAUUAAUUUGUUCUGAGAUCUUUACAUAUAUGCUCAAUUUGCAAGUGGCAUGGUGAACUCCUCCCAACUUUAAUUAAUUAGAGCUGGCAUUGGAGAUGGAAUAUUUAUUUAUGGACCAGGUGCAAUUAAAGAAGAAGGCUUUGCUCACUCUAGAGAAUGCCAAGAGGACUGUGGGAUGUGAGUGUUGGAGAAACUUGGAAUCUCAGAGCAGGUGUAACCUCAAGGGUCACUUCUUCAGACUAUCACAGAGACUCUAGGAUAGCUGCAAUACCUAUCUAUGUGCUUUUCUCAGUAUUCCCAAAUAGCUAACAGAGACCAUAGAUUUUGUCUUGAUAAGGCUGCACUGGCUAGAUAAACUAUCUGAGUGUUGUUUUGCCUUUGGCUGGGAUUAUGUUCAUUCUUUAUGAUAAUGUUGGUUAUCUUCUCCUGACCAGAUGCCCCAAUUAUCAGUCAGCUCUGUCUUUCAUGAAAAGAAGAAAAUGAUUUUAUUUGAAUCAUCGAGUUUAUUUGGUUCAAGAGAUUUCUCAGAAACAAAGGGAAAGGGUGGGGUGCUGAGGGAAUUGAUAGUGAAAAUCCUCAGCUUGGAAAGAUGGAAAAGCACCAUUCUUGCCCCAAGCCUAACAAAGAGGAGAUUGCCCAAGUGAUACAGCCAAGUUCAUGCUGUGACUUAUUAAAAGCAAUUAACAGAAGUCUUUCUGGUUCAUCAAAGGUUACUGAAGGAAUACAUUUUGUGAGUUAAAAGUGGAAGAUCCCUGGAGACACUAAGUCUCAAGCAAGAAAGUCACUCAGGAGGCUGGUGUGUACCAUCCAGGAAGGAAUGUGGUGGCUGGUGGCUGUCAGGGAUGGAUGGAGAGAUCAGCCAGAGAGAGGCACACCUUCAUCAAGUCUCAGCGGCUGAGGGACACUGGCUUGCUUGCCCCCAUGGUAGGCAAGAUCAGAACCGACCUUCAGGUUUUGGAGUGACAGUUGAGAGGUGCGAUUUGGUGAAGCAAGACAGCUGAAGAGAAAUAGUGCCCACACAAAUGUUAGGAAUCGCCUCAGAGGACCUGGGACGGCUGAGAAUCUAAGAGUUACUUCUGCCUCAAGGGUCUCCCGCGUUUUUGUAAUGCCAAGGACAGAAAAGGACAAGAGAGUGCUACCGUCCCAGCCCCAGGCAUUGUGCCUGCGGUGGAGGUCUCUGCCCAAGGCGGACGCCAGGGGUCAGUGCAGGCCCAGCUUCCCCAGCUGGAGCAUCGCCGAGGUCUCCUGCCUUCAGCGAGUGUUCAUUACGGGAAAGAAUUUAAGAGAACUCUAAAUGGCAGAUUCGUUUAUGAUAGCAGCAUUUACAGGCAGUUGUAAUUAUAGUGUAUGGAAAACAAUUAUUCCCUCCUAAAAUUGCUCUUUUAAUUUUCUCUUAUUUGUCCCACAGUGAAUGUUAAAUAAGCCUCAUUGCCUUGCAGACAGCCUCCGAUAUGUGCACAGAGAGAAGCUCCUAAGCACACACCACACUGUAACCUGCACACGCGCACACUCAUUCCUAGUAUACAUGAUAGGCAAGCUCUGAAAAGCACACGGGUCCAGUCAAUAGCUUCCCACUACAGCCCCAUCCCAAGCACAGUUCAGGGAUGCCAUGUGGGAAACUCCUCCCCAUCCAUCAGAACAGGCCUCAGGAGGCACUACUCAGUGAACCCUUCCUCUCCCUCCUGAGUCCCAGACAAGUCUUUGCAGCUCCAAACUGUAUUGCACCGUGUUUCUGGGCAGACAUCUUCACCUCACAAACUUUCAUCCACUCCUUUGUCUACACUCCUCUCUUUACAUAUAAGAUUCUUAAGCCACAAAGUUCUUGCUUUUUUUUUUUUUUUUUUUAUCACCAGUCUCCUAACACUUGGCCAGUGGGAAAGCCUGUUACUGGUCCCUGUCUCUGCCGAUGGCUCAAGAUAGUGUGCUCCCGAAGGAAGCCACAAAUUGAAUAUCUUCCCAAAAUGUUAGUUUGCAAGGAGCUGUGUUUUCACUUCCAACCUCUACCAAGGAGAGUAGAAAACCAGUCAAGGUCCAGGGCUGAAUGCAUCUUUGUGGAGACUUCAGUCACAUUGUGGAACCCUGACCAAAAUGGAUCCUAUUUCAAAGUGUCUUGGACCUUAGUGAGGUUUCAAAGACUUGGGGCUCAACAGAGGUCUCCAAUCGUCCUUGAGGAGAAAACAAAUGUCUUUAAACUCAGACUGUGGGACAGAGAGGUGGGAAUGGGAAACAAAACACAUCUUCACAGUCAAGGACCAAUGACCCUUAUUAAAUGGAUUAGGCGGUGACAUUACAUGGGUUCUCGGGCCAUUUUAGAGUGGUUAAUGUUGGCGGAUGGAGGCCAAGCUCUAUUAAGGAAGGAUGUGGAAGUCUGUCCCCCUGAUUUAAAAGUUUGCAUUGGAGGAAGGAUGUUUGCAAUUUUCGUGAAGUCUUACUGUUAAUUGGUUGUCUUGGCCUUGAAAUGGUCUUGAUUGUUAAGUAGUUCUCUCUUUUCACACAAGGAGAGAGAAAGCAGGAGGAAGGAAUUUCAUGUGAGGGACAGAAAAAAAUGAAAAUGAUACUGAUGCCAAGUGAACCGUCUGUUGGAUGUUUGAUGUUGGCAGGCUGGACUCUUCUCUAUUCAUCCAUGUUCUCUCUGUCUUGGCUCAAAUGCUUAAGGGACUUCUGAAUCUCUUUGUUUCCUGUUUCUACCACAAAUGUAUAAAAUAGUCCCAAGAAUGCCUGCCAUUUCAUAUCCAAGUCUUUUUUUUUUUUUUCUUGUUUGUGCUGCUAUAACAAAGUACCAUAGACUCAGUAGCUCACAUACAAUAAAAAGUUUAUUUCUCACAGUUCUGGAAGCUGAGAUAUCUGACAUCAACUACCACAUUAGUUGUCUGGCUCCUUAGAGACAGUGCUUUUCACUUGUUCUCACAGGCAGGGAGAUCAGCAAACUUCCUGGCACCUCGUUUAGAAGGGUACUGUCAACUGUCAUUGACCUGUGCAAAU
ensembl:lncRNA